rnacentral:lncRNA from 1 species
GAGGAGGAGGAGGGGAAGGAGGCGCGCGCGGAGAGGGGGAGCCGGAGCGAGGCGGUGGCGGUGGCGGCGGAGGGGGAGGUCGCCAUGGCUGUGGAUGAGGCGGCGGCGACGCGUGUGGGUUGGUGAAGGUGGAUUAAUUGUUUUGGUUCUUUUCUUUUUUAUUUUUUCCGUUGACGAAUGGGCUGGGCUUGACGACGACGGCCCACGGAGUGAAGCGGAGGAAAGGCCCACAAUGACAUGGAGUGGUGAUAAUCCCGCCCAUUAUUACAUUAUUAAUUCCGUGUUAUAAGAUUUUCCGGAUGUGUCAUAUACUCGCUCUGGUCAAAAAUAUACUUGAGCUCUGGUGCAAUAGCUGGACCUGGACAUGAUUUAUAUUGUGUAUUAAUUGUGGAAUCCCGUGUUAUAAUAUUU